rfam:Prunus persica cultivar Lovell chromosome G8, whole genome shotgun sequence.
ACCUCAUGGUGAGGACACUUGCGCAAUGAAUCUUUGAAUCGUUCACAUGCUUCAUAUAGAGGCUCCCUAUCAUGAACAACAUAACAUCUUGCCCGAAUUUUGUAGUU